AAAAACAUUGCUCUUUGAACCUAAUAAAAAGUAAGACCUGCCCAGUGAUUUUAUUAUAAAUUAAACGGCCGCAGAAUUUUAACUGUGCUAAGGUAGCAUAAUCAUUUGUUUUUUAAUUAAAAACUUGUAUGAAUGGUUAAACGAAAUUUAUCUGUCUCAUUUUUAUUUUUAAAAAUUAAUAAAAAAGUUAAAAAGCUUUUAUAAAAUAAAAAGACAAAAAGACCCUAUAGAGUUUUACUUUUAAAAAUUAUUUAUUUAUAAUAAUAAAGUUUAGUUGGGGCAACUAAGAAACAUAAAAUUUUUCUAAAAAUAAUAAAAAUAUUCUAUCAUUUAUUAAAUAAAUCAAAAUAAAUUACCUUAGGGAUAACAGCAUAAAUUUCUUUAAGAGUCCAAAUUGAAAAGAAAAAUUAUGACCUCGAUGUUGGAUUAGAGAAUCAUAAAAUAGAAAAAAAUUUUAUAGAUAGUC
rnacentral:rRNA from 1 species